UGACUGUAUUUCAAAGGCAGUGACUGUAAACAAACUUGGUUGAAGAAAUAAGAACCACAUGACAAAAUGCUUGAAUUAAAUCUUUUUUUUUUUUUUUUUUUUUUUUGCCACAUUUCACAUUUGAGAACCCAGAAUUCAGCUCCUGUUAUACAAAAUUUGUAAAAAUUUAUUGCCUUGGCGUAAAGUGACAAUCAUGCCUUGGCGUAAAGUGAAAAUCUUCACAGAAGGGUAUGCUUUGUGUCACCAAAUGGGGGUGCAGCUGUGUGAUAUCUGUGCAGUUUGUGAUAAAAUUAAAAAUUUUCUGUGAAAGAUUCUUAACUGGAAAUUGGAAGGGAAAACAAGAAGAAACAAUGUAAUGUAGCAGUGGAAACAAAAUUCUCACAAUGAAUAGCAGUCUUUCCAGCUUCUUUGACACGGAUUUCCUCAUCAUCAAUGGCGGCUCUCCUGAACUAGGGAUGAGUGUGAAUCUCCAUUUGAGGAAGGGGAAGAAGAGCUUGGAGGGUGACAGCCUCCCCCUGAGAGAGCCAGUUGUGUUCAUGAUUUUGGUUCCUUCUUCCUCCUAAUUAAGCAUCUGCCCAGGAGCCCAGGAGCCAGGGCUUAGCUUCCUGGCUAUUUUCAACUCUUCUUAGUGAAGACCAGCAUUGCCAGCCCACUGACCCCAGUAGGGUCACCCCUGCCCACUGAGAACCAGCCACCCCCUCACCCCCCACCAGAGUUCCCUGAAGGAACCAGCUGCCUCUAGUGGGAGACAGAGUAAAGGCAGAGGGGCCCCUCCUUUCUCAGGUGCCCUGUGCUAGUGUUGGGCAGCUCUAAGGUUGGAAACUGCUUUCCCCACUGAGCUGAAGGCUGCCUCCUGGGAUAUGCACCCGGCGGUCCCCAUUCAGCCCCGGGAGCCACUCGGAUCAAGUCUGGCUGUAUCCCGAGGGCGACCAGGACAGCCCUGUGAGCAGCAGUUCCCCUCCUGGAACACUGCUUCACCAGCCCAUCACCCCAGCCCUGUGGACUGCUCCUCCCUCACCUGGUUUCUACGUGGACCCACCAUUCUUGCCCUCCUGGACCCCUAAACUGGCCCAUGUGUUUAGUUGUAGAAUGGGGGCCAGGACUGGACAUGUGGUUUGAUUGCUAAGGACCUAGCAGAGGCUCAUCAUGUGGUAGACUCUGUAUUUUAUCGUGUGUGUAUGUGUGUGUAUAUUUACACACACAUACACACAAGAUAGAUAUAUAUAUUAAGUGGACACUGUAUGUGUAUAUAUACACAUACAUAUAUUAUAGAUGUAUGCAUAUAUGUAUAUAUGUAUACAUAUAUGUAUAUGUGCAUACAUAUAGAGGUAUACAUAUAGAUGCAUAUCUGUAUACAUGUGUAUAUAUAUACAUAUAUGGAUACAUACAUAUUUAUGUGUACACAUAUAUGUAUAUGUGUAUAUGUGUACACAUAUAUGUAUGUGUAUACAUACAUAAGUAUAU
rnacentral:lncRNA from 1 species